GAUGAACGCUGGCGGCGUGCUUAACACAUGCAAGUCGAACGGAAAGGCCUCUGCUUGCAGGGGUACUCGAGUGGCGAACGGGUGAGUAACACGUGGGUGAUCUGCCCUGCACUUCGGGAUAAGCCUGGGAAACUGGGUCUAAUACCGGAUAGGACAAUGGUUUGGAUGCUGUUGUGGAAAGUUUUUCGGUGUGGGAUGAGCUCGCGGCCUAUCAGCUUGUUGGUGGGGUAAUGGCCUACCAAGGCGUCGACGGGUAGCCGGCCUGAGAGGGUGUACGGCCACAUUGGGACUGAGAUACGGCCCAGACUCCUACGGGAGGCAGCAGUGGGGAAUAUUGCACAAUGGGCGCAAGCCUGAUGCAGCGACGCCGCGUGGGGGAUGACGGCCUUUGGGUUGUAAACUCCUUUCGCUAGGGACGAAGCGUUUUUGUGACGGUACCUGGAGAAGAAGCACCGGCUAACUACGUG
rnacentral:rRNA from 1 species